UACGUAGGGUGCGAGCGCUAUCCGGAAUUACUGGGCGUAAAGCGUCCGCAGCUGGGUAUUUAAGUCUGAUGUUAAAAUCCGGGGCUCAACUCCGGACUCGUAUCGGAAACUGGAUACCUAGAGUAAUGCAGAGGUACAUGGAAUUUGUGGUGUAGGGGUAAAAUCCGUUGAUACCAUAAGGAACACCAAAAGCGAAGGCAGUGUACUGGGCAUUUACUGACAGUCAGGGACGAAAGCGUGGGGAGCAAAAGGGAUUAGAUACCCUGGUAGU
rnacentral:rRNA from 1 species